GGCAGCAUGGCUGAGUGGUUUUCUGGCGAUGCCUUGCUAAGGCAUUGAGCUGUGCCCGCGUAAGAUCGAAUCCUGCUGUUGUCG
rfam:Vitrella brassicaformis CCMP3155 genome assembly, contig: scaffold35